GACGAACGCUGGCGGCGUGCUUAACACAUGCAAGUCGAACGGAAAGGCCCUGCUUUUGUGGGGUGCUCGAGUGGCGAACGGGUGAGUAACACGUGAGUAACCUGCCCUUGACUUUGGGAUAACUUCAGGAAACUGGGGCUAAUACCGGAUAGGAGCUCCUGCUGCAUGGUGGGGGUUGGAAAUUUUCGGCGGUUGGGGAUGGACUCGCGGCUUAUCAGCUUGUUGGUGGGGUAGUGGCUUACCAAGGCUUUGACGGGUAGCCGGCCUGAGAGGGUGACCGGCCACAUUGGGACUGCGAUACGGCCCAGACUCCUACGGGAGGCAGCAGUGGGGAAUAUUGCAAAAUGGGCGGAAGCCUGAUGCAGCAACGCCGCGUGCGGGAUGACGGCCUUCGGGUUGUAAACCGCUUUCGCCUGUGACGAAGCGUGAGUGACGGUAAUGGGUAAAGAAGCACCGGCUAACUACGUG
rnacentral:rRNA from 1 species